rnacentral:rRNA from 1 species
AUUGAACGCUGGCGGCAGGCCUAACACAUGCAAGUCGAGCGGAUGAAGGGAGCUUGCUCCUGGAUUCAGCGGCGGACGGGUGAGUAAUGCCUAUGAAUCUGCCUGGCAGUGGUGGAUAACGUCCGGAAACGGGCGCUAAUACCGCAUACGUCCUGAGGGAGAAAGUUGGGGAUCUUCGGACCUCUCGCUAUCAGAUGAGCCUAGGUCGGAUUAGCUAGUUGGUGGGGUAACGGCCUACCAAGGCGACGAUCCGUAACUGGUCUGAGAGGAUGAUCAGUCACACUGGAACGUGGACACGGACCAGACUCCUACGGGAGGCAGCAGUGGGGAAUAUUGGACAAUGGGCGAAAGCCUGAUCCAGUCAUGCCGCGUGUGAGAAGAAGGUCUUCGGAUUGUAAAGCACUUUAAGUUGGGAGGAAGGGCAGUAAGUUAAGACCUUGCUGUUUUGACGUUACCAACAGAAUAAGCACCGGCUAACUUCGUG